rnacentral:sRNA from 1 species
UCUUCAAACACAAAGCAGGUGUCAUAGUCCUGAUUGUCAACUUGGGAGGAUUAGAGUCACCACAGCAACCAAUCCCUGGCCACCCUUCUGUGAGGUUACCUGAGGUGGGAAGACCUCUGGGAUGCCCGAAUGAAUAGAAAAAGAGACAGCAAACUGAGCACCACCAUUUAUGUCUCUCUGCUUCCAGACCACUUCGCACACUCCAAGCCUCCAUGACAGCGGCCUCAAACGAGGAGGCCAAAUAAGCCCUCCGACCUGACCUUGUCUUUGCCAGGUAUCCAGACACAACACCAGUAACUAGGGUUGCCGAGAUGACUCAGCAGGAAUUCAGUUAACACCAGGCAUGGGGUGCACGCCUGGAACCCUGAAGCAGGGGAGACACAGCAGCAGGAGGACUCCUUUCUGCUACUACAGUGACAAUAAGACCAAGCCCACAACACAUGCUGUGGAGAGACAGUACUGGGAGUAGCUAGGCAGGUUCCUGGUGCCUGCACCUGCCUGUGAGCUGCACAAGACCCAUCAGGAGAUUUCCCGGCAGAGGAGAGGGAGCAAGAGUAAAACAGAAACAUAAAAUGUGGAGCGGUCCCUUCUCACUGAGUGGUUACAUGUGGGGCCGAGGGAGAAGGAUCGUGGUCCGGAUGCCGCGUGGAAUACUUAGUUCUCAUAACUUGGUAAAUCUCAGAAGCACACAGCCAGGAAGAGAAAGCCGGGAGGGAGGAACUGCAGUCAAUGGGAGACAGGUCUGUCAGGAGAAGUCUGCAGAGCCUGAGACAUGUGCUGCCUCUUUUCAUCCGCCAUGGGUGCACACUGUCCACACACAAGGCAGAUACCGAGGCUGAUGUACCAACUCCUCCAGCUAACUCAGCAGCGGCUGGCAUCACCGAGAGUCAAAACACGGGUUCUGGCUUCCUCGCAAAACCAGAAGCUAGUUCUGCCCAGUGCUGACCCAGAGGGCUGCUCUAAGGUUAGCUAUACCCCGGUGUGGGAAAUCACUUCCCAGCCCCUGUCAAGUCUUCCCUCAACUUAAGUCUUCUGAAAGCACUCAGGAGAUGCUAAGAGCAGAGCAUGCUGGGAAGUCGGGUGCACUCUCUAGGACCAACACAUAAAACCAGUCUUGGGAAGAACCUAGCAGGGUGAGGAAGAGCCUUAGGGAACACAACUCCCAACCAUUAACACAAGUCGGCACCCAGGGAUGAGGACGGGUCAUCUCCAGUCUGAAGGCUUCAAUCCCGGAAAGGAAGGAUGCAGGUGGCGUUAGCCACUGGCACUGUAAGAGCUAAGGGCUCAGUUAACCCCGGCUGCACAGAGAGGUCUGGGUGGGGCACCACCCGCUACAGAGACCACAGGACUGCAUGCGUUUAGAGAAGGGGGGCUCAGCUCGUCACCUCAGAAGAGUCCUGAGUGCGGAGUGAUUUCAUAGGCCACACCACAGGCUCGCUUCCCAGGUACACACGGGGUUUCUCGUACAUUAUUAAAAGUAGCAGCCUGUGGCUACGCUACGCUUCAGCCCCAGAGCUCAUUAGCUUGAGUGAAUCUCCACGACCGCAGUGGAGCCAUAAAGGAGCAGUCGUCCUCCACCGUAUAAAUUGAUAACUUUCUUCCUGUUUUAUGGCUCCGUUUAUGUCCACUUUAUAAGGUUUUGCGUUUUACUGACCAGGUUUCAGCGUGUGCGCUCCGCUUACCCUGGGGGUGUGGCCGAGUAGAUUUGAAUCUUCCAGGAAGUUUUGCUCUCUGCCUCUCUUUUGCACUAAACCUGGGCUAAGAAAUUAGAAAUAACAACCACCACCGCUACCCCACCCACCACCCUGCCAAGCAAGCUCUUUAUGUAGGCACAGGCACGCAACCUGUUCAAGGCCAUUCAAUACGGAAGAGACUCUGGGAGAACUUCGGGGCCAUGGAUGUGUGGAGAAACUAGAUCUACAGAAGUGUGGGAGCAAAUAAGUAAACCAUGGGCCAAUGGGAUGACUCGGUGGCCAACGCACCAAGCCUCAGGACUUGAGUUCAAUCCCCAGCACCCACGAGGGAGGAGGAGAAAAACUAAUUUAUCUUCUGACCACCACACAGGCACUGGGGCGUGCUGUCCGGGAGUGCACACGCAAAAUACUUACACAAAUAAGUGGGAACGUCUGCGUAAGUAAGAUGCAAAGUGACAAAAUUAGCUUGAUAAUAAAAGUGUCUAAUUACUCAAGGUGAAGCACUGGGAGAAAUGCCAGAGAAACCCGGAACCACCAAUCAAGUUCUGAGGCAAAUAAACACUCAAGCCAAUUAACUAUCUAGCGAUGCUUAAACUUAAAGAUCAAGUAUGUGACCGCGAUAAAUGGGAGAGGGGACUAAUUUCUAGGUUACUUUUCCCUUUGUUUGUUUGUUUUUGUUUGUUUGUUUCUGACAGGGUCUCCGUUAAGUCAGACUGGCCUUGAUCUGCUCCUCCUGCCUCAGCUUCCCAAGUGCUGGGUUACAGAGAGUUUACAGGCCACCAUGCCCAGCCCCUUCAUCUUGAUUUCUUGGUCAAUGUCCGUUGUCAACUCUCUUUCCUAAUAAUGCACACGGUAAGCACGCCACGAAGAGACUGAUCCGUGGGAAAAAUGGAAGACCGAAUAAUAACAGUAACAAUCAUAACCACAAAUAAUAAAAACUAAACAACAUGACCUUGACAGAAAACCUUCCAUGUGUCCUGAGCUGUGUGAGAUGUCAUUCCCCGUUGUCAUGGAAACAGACGUGGUACAGAAAUUAUACAAACGAGUCAGGUCCCAACCUCAAACACACACACACAAAAGUCCGGGCACAUGGAAGACUUCAAUAAAAGUAACCAUUUGACAUUUUCAGCAGAAAAUGUCUCUAACUAACAAGAAAAUAUCUAACUCCUGCCACAUUAAAAUAAGAAUUCCUUGGGAGGCGCUGGAGAGAUGGCUCAACGGUGAA